UCAUUUCAAAGUUAUUUUAAAAUAGUCCCAUAAUUUUGAAAGAAGGAGUGUCUCCUCAUAAAAGAGGUCAGACCCAGACGACUAAUUACCAAAAACACAGGUAUCUGUAAAGUCGUAAAAUCAUUUAUGGGGUUGGCACUUGCCUGGAACCGGAAGGUCAAUGAAGUUGGUAACUUAAUGAUAGGGGAGCUGACUGACGACCAAAAUCUCGAUGAACAACGGUCGUAACUAUAACGGUCUUAAGAUAGCAAAAUUUCUUGUCGGGUAAGUUCCGACCCGUACGAAAGGCAUAACGAUCUGGGUACUGUCUCGAAGAGA
rnacentral:ncRNA from 1 species